GUUAAAUGGCCAGCAGGAAUUAUCCACUAGAGAAGCGGAAGGGAGAGAAUGGAAAUGGCCGCAUGCAGCUCCUCUCCCUCAGACAGCUCGGGGCUCAGCGGAAUGAGCACAGUCUGCAGGACAAGUGCGGAGGACUUCAGUCCCCUCUACUGUAUAUUGGCUUUAGGACUCAAGUUGUCCCUGAAAUAGAGGAAGGUGUUUUCUAGGGUAGUGGUAAUUAUCACAGUCAAAAAAGUAGGCGAGAGCACUUAGGAAAACUGUGCGGAGAUCGGCUGCUGAUGUGUAAAUACUGCUGAAGCUGCUUAUUCAAGAUUAGAAAACCUGAGACCCAGACGGGGGAAACUGCUUUCCAUGGUUAAUCGUCAACAACUGGCCAGGAUGGGACAGAAGCCCAUACAUAGCCUUCAUUCCAGGGCUCAGAACAAAAAGAAGGCAGUGGCCUGGGCUGCACCUGAGCUUGGCUUCACAUAGGAGGGAUUCUGGAACGCAGGAUCCUGACAACGACCUCAAGCCCCUGUAAAGCAACACAUUUUUUGGCAAGAAUCCCUGGGACAGAGAAAGAAUUUCUUCUCACUUAUUAUUGAGAAUGUUCUCAUGUCUUGCAAGGCUCACUGCCCAGUAGAAGCUGAAAAGAUUCAGUAUGAGUAAAAGAAGAGAUCUGAAAUUUGCAGCUUGUCAUAGAAAGAACUGAGACUACCAUACACCUAAGAAGUCAAAGUUGCUAUUCAAGGGGAAGUGCAAACACAAGAUGAGGGAAACUGAUGUAUUUAGUGUCUACAUUUUACAAAUGGAUGCUUUUCAUAAUAUGAAAAUACUGCACCAUAAGAUUGCCAGUCACAACAGCACGGCUACAGUGAAAAUUGUCAGUCUUUUUUUUUUCCAGGAUCCCAGUGGAUUUGUUACGGUGAGAAAGCUUCACUUGGAGACAAAGCCAAAACCUUCCUCCCAGGCUCCCUUGGAUGUAGGGGGAAGCAAACUGGCUGUCCAGGCCUCUGAGCCACAUCUACACACCUCAUGAGAGGGCCUGUGCAACAUUGCCUUAGAGAUGGAGAGCAUUGCUUCAGAAUCAGGGAAGCCUAAAUUUCACCCCUGGGGCUGCCCCUUGUGAUCUUGAAUGGCUCCUGACAAGAGGCUGCUGGGGAGGCUCCUGCUCCCUGCCUUUCGGGACUGCCGUGGAUUGCCCAUUGAUGGGUCAAAAUCCAGCUACCUGGUAAUUCAAUGAGUCCCUAGUGUGCAUCCAAUAAAUUAUCUUCUGUUUAAAUUAGAACAAACUGUUUUUAAUCUGUGUGCUAAGAAUCUCAUUAAAUGCAUCAUAAAUUUCAAAAUCAAAAACUAAAUAAAACA
rnacentral:lncRNA from 1 species